rnacentral:tRNA from 1 species
GGUGAGGUGGCUCAGUGGUUAAGAGCACUGACUGUUCUUCCAGAGGUCCUGAGUUCAAAUCCCAGCAACCA